rnacentral:lncRNA from 1 species
AGGCACCCCUGGCUGACAUUUUCUGAUAACUUCACCAGACUACUGCUACUUCAAGGGAAACAACUGACAAUGUUGCCAAUGAAAAUUUGAAGUUUUAAGUAAAAAUUAUAAUUUUAGAAAACUUGUAUCCAUUGCUGUGAGCCUGACAGCUUCCUACAACUUACUUUUCUGAUUCGAUCAUUGAUGCUGUGAACAGAUCACCAGAUCAGAUUGUAUUGUUUUAUACAAUUAAAUGUGUCAACAUUUGGAUAGGCCUGAGGGAGCCCUAUUUUCAGAUGACCAAACACAUAAUAUUACAAAGCAAGGAAUGCGAAAAGAUCAUUGGAAAUGUAAGGUAAACUAAUGGGUUUUAAUGUAUCAGUAUGAAAAUGUCUCUGAUUAGCAUUUCAGAUUUUACAUUGCAACCACUCUUUAAAAAAAUCUGCCAUUUGCUGAGUGUUGGUUAGUACUAAACUAGUCACAAUUACCUGAAAAUGUUAUUAAAAUACCCCUCCCUUUUAUAGCACACCUGUGUGUUCUUCCUAUACUUCAACAAAAUAGCAUAUGACAAUAGAUGCAAUGCAGAAGCAGACAGGAGUGUCUAGCUGUUUUCGGUUGAACUAGACCAGGGGUACCUAGGUGGUUAAGCGUUUCCUUUCAGCUCAGGUCAUGAUCCUAAAGUCGACUGAACUAGAUCUGAAGGAUAUCAAAAAAAAGGUAAAACAAUGUCACACUUGUCCCCAAAUGGUGCAGUGAAAAAGAAAUGCAAUGAGAAAAAUUUACUUUAGAAAAUAUGGUUAUUUGUCAUAAAAAGACGUUGUGUUACCAUGUAUGAGGUUUCUAUUAUUUUUUUAAAUUAAUGAGUAUUCCUAGAACUUACUCAUUUUAAUUUCUAAUAUAGUAACUAUCAACAGAUAAAAAUUCACAUAAACAAAAAGUUCCAAGUGGCCCCCAUUAAUUUUUUUGAAGUAUGGCGGUUCUGCGACAAAAAAUUUAAGAGCAUGGUCCUAAUCCUCACCUUCUGCAAUUGCUGUGUGUGCCUUGACCCCCUGAGGGGAGCCAGGAAUGUCACUGUAAGUUCUGGAAGUAAUCUCCAUUUGUAGCCUACUUUGACUCUUAUACUACCAGGGUGAGCCCCAGGUUAAAACAUGCAUGUUCCCAUAAUAAUCGUACUUCUGCAAAGUUCUUCAGGAACAUGGGACACAUGGCAUCAUUUCCAUUUUGCUUUGUGAAUUCUGAACAAGCCAUGGUACAAUUUUGCUGACUUGCCUUGAGCUGACAGUCUUCAAUUUUUAAUUUAUCCUAUAAUUAAACUGAUUUUGCUUCACUGUUAUUCUGUCAUUCCUUAGAUUUCCAGUGCAACUGCUUAUUAGUCAAGCAGGUCAAAUUUUGUGGGAAAAUCAAAUAGGGAACUAGCACUUGGUUGUGCUUGUUAAAAUUAAUCUUGGAAACACUUUAAAAAGAAACCCACAAAAGUUUUCUCAAAAUAGUCUUUCUGGUUGUCAAAUGAAAAAGGUGAGCAAUUAGACUCUUGUCGUAUGAUAGGUUCAGGAUUUUCUGCUGACUGGCAUAGUGUCCUGUCUCAACCUCUGAGCUAUUACUCAGGUACUUGGCUGUACUCUGAUGGAAUAAAAAGAAUCUGCAGUUGAAUAUUUUAACUACUGUACUUGCUGACAAAAGACUAAAAACGUUUUUAGCCAUUAGAAAAAUUACUCUAGCUAUGGUUUCAUAUGUGCCAGGAAUUAUUGAAAUAGGCAUUUUUGGGGGGAAAACUGGCAAUAACUUAAACCAUUAUAAUGAACCACAAUGACAUCAAAAUAUUUCUGCAAAAUAAUUGAUACAAAUGCUUUUAAAGGUUUUAGCACUGAGAAUUUGUAGCUGAAACAUAACAUGUGAAGCGCCUUUGUCAGACAGCAGUUUGAUGCUGCUAAUUUGCACUCAGCUUUCAAAUGUUAUAGAUGCAAUUCCACUGCCACCUAUUCAAACUAGUUUUCAGGUUAUCUGUAGUGCUUAAAGAUAGGUUUCUGUGGUAUUUGAAAGCUGAUUUAUGUGCAUGAAAUGGAUGGGGUUCAAUUUAAACCAUUUGCUAGAAUUCUACCUAAUUUCAGUUGAUCUAGAAGAUACUUGAAACUAGUGAGAGUGGUGUGCUGACUUCUGCACAGUGAAUUUCAGAAAACUAUAAUGUAAGCUUCAUAAAGGUAAGGAUUUUUGUCAUUCUAGGCUUACCACUUCAUACCCAGUGCUUAGCAUACUACUGUGUGCUAAUAAUAAUAAUAGAAGGGAGCAACAAGCUGACCCAACUGAGUCAGUGCUAAUAUGGGUAAUUUUAAUUUUAAUAACAUGAAUGAAAUUUUAAGAAAAUGACUGUUUAUAGUUGCAGAGUCUUGUAACAGAAUGAUUUGAUAUUUAGGAUCCACUUGAGAUUGACAAUGACUCCAACUUAGUCUGCUGCCCAGUUGACUGGUUUCCUCAAGCCGCUCUCAGGGCAUUUGUUCAUUCAUUCAUGGAACAUACAUUCAUUGAGCGCCUACUAUGUGGCAGGCAUCGAUCUAGGGCUGGAAAUACAGGGGAAUAAAAUAUACAAAAAUCCCUAUGCUCUUGAAGUGUACAUUCUAAUGGGGGAAAGAUAAUGGGUAGUACACUGUUUAUAGUAUUAUCUUACAAUAUAUACAUGAUGACAAAUGGAGACAGGUGCUAUGGAGAAAAAAAAUCAGGCAGGAAAGAGGAAAUGAGAUGUCACAAUUUCUAAUAGAGUGAUUAGAGAAGACCUCACUGAGAAGGAUAUUUGAGCAAAGAUCUGAAGAAAACAAGGGAAUCAUGCAGGUAUCUGAGAGGAGAGCAUGUCAAGCAAAGAGCAAGUGCAAAGAUCUGUGGACAAAGAGUGUCAGAUGUGUUUAAGGAACCUUGGGUAGGGGUGUUUGAUUGAACAGAAGGCAAUUGGAAUUCAAAAAAUAAUAGUUGCAGACUUCAUUACCUCGUCUCAAUAAUGGGUAAAACAACUAGAUUUGACACUUAAUACUGUCAAUCAACUAGACCUAACUGACAUCUAUAGAACAUUCACACAAUAAUAGCAAAAUAGACAUCUCAGGUGCACAUAGAAUGUUAUUCAGAAUAGACCAUAUACUAGGCCAUAAAACAAGUCUCAAAAAAUUUAAAAUAAUUGAAAUCAUACAAAGUAUGUUCUCAGUCCACAGGGUAACACAAGGAAAAUUCUGGAAAUUAUAAUCAUGUGGAAAUUAAAUGACACGCUAUUAGUUACCAAUGGUCAAAGAAGAAAUCAUAAUAGAAAUUGGAAAAUACUUCGAAAUGAAUGAAAAUGAAAUUAACAAAAUAGAAGAUAAAGUGAAAGCAAUGAGAGACUUGUAGCUUAAAUUCUUUUUAAAAAAUACUGAGUUAUAAUUGGCUUGUAACAUUAUGUUAACUUCAGAUGUACAACAUAAUGAUUCGAUAUUUGUAUAUACUGUGAAAUGAUCACAAAAAUUCUGGUUAACAUCUGUCACUAUACAUAGUUUAAAAAGAUUUUGAAACACAGGACACCAAAAUGAGAAAUUACUAUGAUUGCAUGAAAUUCACUCAUCCCUUCCUCAGUAGUAUGCAUCCUCUUCUCCAUAAUAAGACAACUUACAAAAAUUAUGGAGUCCUUUAUUUUUUUUUUGAGUCCUUUCUUUAUAAAGUUUUCUGUGGUUUGACAUUUAUUCAUUGAUCUUUAACCAAGAAUUUCAUUAUACUGGGACCCAUUCUUGAGAGGGGGAGCGAAGUCUGUGUCUUAGGGAAAUUACAUAUUCUCCAGGGAAACAUAUUAAACUAGUGAUUAGGAGAUCAUUUAAUACUAUGUGGCAUGAAGAACCAGCUGAGACUAUGAAAACAUCAAUAGUAUGAUCCUUAUCUGGGAGAUCAGAAAAGACUUGUUAGAGUAUGUGGCAUCAAUCUCUACCCAACACAGUUUGAAUUAUUACCUGAUUUAUAUGAUUAUGUCCAUACCCUUGAGAAGUGUAUACUUUAUUGGACGCUACAGAACUAAAUAAAGUAUUUUGAUUCAGUAAUAUAUGGACCAGGAAAAA